rnacentral:rRNA from 1 species
GGGGAGACGCUGGCGGCGUGCCUAAUACAUGCAAGUCGUACGCUUCUUUUUCCACCGGAGCUUGCUCCACCGGAAAAAGAAGAGUGGCGAACGGGUGAGUAACACGUGGGUAACCUGCCCAUCAGAAGGGGAUAACACUUGGAAACAGGUGCUAAUACCGUAUAACAAUCGAAACCGCAUGGUUUUGAUUUGAAAGGCGCUUUCGGGUGUCGCUGAUGGAUGGACCCGCGGUGCAUUAGCUAGUUGGUGAGGUAACGGCUCACCAAGGCUACGAUGCAUAGCCGACCUGAGAGGGUGAUCGGCCACAUUGGGACUGAGACACGGCCCAAACUCCUACGGGAGGCAGCAGUAGGGAAUCUUCGGCAAUGGACGAAAGUCUGACCGAGCAACGCCGCGUGAGUGAAGAAGGUUUUCGGAUCGUAAAACUCUGUUGUUAGAGAAGAACAAGGAUGAGAGUAACUGUUCAUCCCUUGACGGUAUCUAACCAGAAAGCCACGGCUAACUACGUGCCAGCAGCCGCGGUAAUACGUAGGUGGCAAGCGUUGUCCGGAUUUAUUGGGCGUAAAGCGAGCGCAGGCGGUUUCUUAAGUCUGAUGUGAAAGCCCCCGGCUCAACCGGGGAGGGUCAUUGGAAACUGGGAGACUUGAGUGCAGAAGAGGAGAGUGGAAUUCCAUGUGUAGCGGUGAAAUGCGUAGAUAUAUGGAGGAACACCAGUGGCGAAGGCGGCUCUCUGGUCUGUAACUGACGCUGAGGCUCGAAAGCGUGGGGAGCAAACAGGAUUAGAUACCCUGGUAGUCCACGCCGUAAACGAUGAGUGCUAAGUGUUGGAGGGUUUCCGCCCUUCAGUGCUGCAGCUAACGCAUUAAGCACUCCGCCUGGGGAGUACGACCGCAAGGUUGAAACUCAAAGGAAUUGACGGGGGCCCGCACAAGCGGUGGAGCAUGUGGUUUAAUUCGAAGCAACGCGAAGAACCUUACCAGGUCUUGACAUCCUUUGACCACUCUAGAGAUAGAGCUUCCCCUUCGGGGGCAAAGUGACAGGUGGUGCAUGGUUGUCGUCAGCUCGUGUCGUGAGAUGUUGGGUUAAGUCCCGCAACGAGCGCAACCCUUAUUGUUAGUUGCCAUCAUUCAGUUGGGCACUCUAGCAAGACUGCCGGUGACAAACCGGAGGAAGGUGGGGAUGACGUCAAAUCAUCAUGCCCCUUAUGACCUGGGCUACACACGUGCUACAAUGGGAAGUACAACGAGUCGCGAAGUCGCGAGGCUAAGCUAAUCUCUUAAAGCUUCUCUCAGUUCGGAUUGUAGGCUGCAACUCGCCUACAUGAAGCCGGAAUCGCUAGUAAUCGCGGAUCAGCACGCCGCGGUGAAUACGUUCCCGGGCCUUGUACACACCGCCCGUCACACCACGAGAGUUUGUAACACCCGAAGUCGGUGAGGUAACCUUUGGAGCCA